GCCCUUGUAGCUCAACGGGAUAGAGCCCGGCCCUCUAAGCCGCGAGACGGUGGUUCGACCCCACCCGAGGGCACCA
rnacentral:tRNA from 1 species